ensembl:lncRNA
AUGAUGUUGAUGAAAGCCAGCACCAAAGGACACAGGGACACAAAUGAAAUCCAGGGACUGAGGAUGGACCAUAGGCCGUCAGAAAGAGCGGAGGACGCCAGAAUUUCCAGACAUUUGCAAAGUCGUCAGGUUUCCAUAGAAGACCCGAUUUCUGCAGUCUACACAACGUUGGUGGAAGGAAACUCAUUUUCACUGGAUGAAGUCUCUCCCCGUUUCUGGCUCUUGUACCACCAUGACCCCAUGUUGCUAGUAGAAACUUUUCCUAUAAGCCCUACAGUGUGAUUAAAGAUGACUGGUGGAGUUUUGUGACCACAGAGUCAUCAUGAGAAUGAGAGAGAUGAAAGAUAUUGUGCCGAGUAUUUCAGGGCAGCAAGUUUUCCUGCAGCAGCAGCAGCAUGAUCAUUUCCUGAAGAAAUAGGAUUCAUGUACUCAACUUGUUCUACCAGUGAAGGCAGAGCAAUGGACAAAGGCCAGGGCGGUGGGAAGUUUUCUGAACAGAUGAGAAAAUUUUUUAUGAAAUAUGCAUUCACAAAGGCCUUACCAGCAGAUGGGUUCUGGAUAACGGAUAACACUCACACUUUCCCAGGCAUCUUUGGAGUGAAACAGGGCUGUGUGCUUGCUCCUAUGCUCUUUAGCAUGCUCUUUUCAGCAAUGUUGUCAGACACCUGAAGAUGAAAAUAGUCCUGAGGUCAGCUAAUGGACUGAUGGGAAAUGAUUUAACUUGAAAAGCCUCCGAGCCAAGACUAAAGUGCGUGACUUUUUAGUCACAGAUGACGAUGCACUCAGUGCAUCCUGUGAGACUUAGAUACAACAGGACAUGGAUUGAUGCUCUGUUGCUUGUGCUAACUUGGACCUAACAAUUAACAUCAAAAAAAGAGGUUCUCCAAGAGCCAGCAUCACACUGUCUAUAUGCGGACCCAGCAAAACUGAAUGGUGUGGACAAGCUCAUUUACCUUAGCAGUAUACUUUCCUGGGAGUCCACAUAGAUGAGGAAGGUGAUGCACACAUUGUCAGAGCUAGUUCAGUGUUGGGGAGGCUCUGAAACAAAUGGCGGAGAGAAGAGUAAUAGGCUACCUACUGGACUGAAGGUGUACAUAACUAUUAUGCUGAUCUCAUUGUCAUACGCUGGUGAACCCUGGAUAGUGUACCAGUGCCUUGCCAGGAAAUGGAAUCACUUCCAUUUGAAUUGUCUUAGAAACAUUCUGAAGGUCAACUGAGAUCCUUUAUCAAGCUUAAUAAGCAAGCAAUUCAAACUAAGGCAGAGAACUCAACUCCAAUGAGCUGGUCACAUUGUUCAAACACCAAAUGUAUAAAAGACUAUCGUACAGAGAAUUCACAUGAAGGUCAGAAAAAGAGAUAAAAAGACACUCUAAAGGUCUCCCUGAAGAAUUCUGGUAUCCAUUAUGAGACAUAGGAGACACUGGCACAGGACUGCCCAGCAUGGCAUGCCCACAUCAACAAAGGACCAAUGCUCCAUGAACAAAGAAGAACUGUAGUAGCUUAAAAGAAACAUAAGAUACAUAAAAUUUAGAAACAUCUCCAGCCCAAAUGUUCACAUGGGCUAUCUCUGCCUGCCUUGUGGCAGAGCCUUCUGAGCUUAUAUCGGUGUGAUCAAUCACAGUCAGACACACUGUACAUUAAUCCCAAUGUAAUGAUGUUAUCUUGGUUCUCUAUGAGUUCGAAGUUCAACAACCAACUACCAUCUGAAGUCAAAAAAGCUCUUCCAACAGCAUAACAGGCACCUAUGCAUCCCAUGAAUCAUUAUCAAAUGUGGUGCUUUUUCCUUUGGCAAGGGGACAUGCCUGGGUAAAGGCUACAAGCUAACAGCUUGGGUGCCAAGACCAGAAGGCAGUAAAGCCACACCAAAAUGUCACAGAAACUAUAGCAGUGCCAGUGUUGUGAGCAGUAUCUUUCAUAAAGGAGGACCCAUCAUCAGUAUAGAAAACAGAAUCAAGAUUGCACAAGCAAGUAUCAUAAAGGUCAUCAUGGCAUUUUUUAGCCAUGCCCAAUACAAAGCACAAUGGUGUGGUGGUUUCCCAGAGACUGGCAGAACUGGGGGAAAUGUGUCAGAAUUUAGGUUUAGAGUGGCACAGUGCCUGACAGCAAUAUCUUCUUUGCAAAGCAAGGACACUUCAGAUUUGGCAAGUAUCUGAUCUGAAAAGGUUCAUAUCUUCACGAGGACACUACUAUUUGGGGAGAAGUGAAAAUCAAAUUACAAACCUCUACCAAAAGGGUUGUGGCAGCUACAGCAAGUAGGCAAGGUGAUGUUCCAGCAGCCACAGAAACAAGGUGGGCAGAAUUGUCGUUUGUCCUUAAAUUUUGAAGAGAACCAAUGACAUCAUGGGGUGAUAUCCUGAUUUGCAGGUGAACUGGAUUUCAGUGAGGCAGAGUUGCAUAAAGUCAUCAGCUUCACUCUCUUUGAGGGUCACUGAAGUCCAGUGGCAAGACAAAAGUUCAGAAGGCUAGUGAUGACCCAGGAGGCAGUGAAUGGCAUCUUCAAUGUAUGUCUAAGCACUUUAAAGCACUAGAUUCAACCACCUUCAUGACUGUUGGAACAAAUUGUUCUUCUCAUCCAUCCAUUCUAUUGGGAGAAAUCUUCAUAUUCUUGAGGUAGCCAUCCCCCUAACUAACUGAUGGGUUUGAGGACAAUCAGUUACUCUCAGCCUGGUUCAGUCCAUUUACUGGUGUACAGCUACUACACAUGCUAUAGCUUCUUGGAGCCACAGGUGACAGCUGGGCAAGAGCUGGAGUCCAAAGGUGGAUGAGCAAAAGGGUUCAGCAAGUCUUCACAUCAGAGGUGUUGAUCCUUCCAGAAUAAUCCAUAUAUUCAUAAGCCACUAGGUGAGGAUUGGGUUCAAAUGUCUUAGUCAGAACACCAGAAGCCACUCCCCUUUACUUGUAUCUAAAAAGAGAGAAGGACUUACUAUCAUCCAGGAACUCUAAUGCAGGUGCCAAUAAUAACAGGGCUCUUUUGAGGCCCACAAGGGCAGAGAUAUGUUGAGUGUCUAACUGCAAAGGUUCCAGAACAGUCUUCAGUGAGAGACAUGGGGCUUAGUAAUCCUGUGAUAUGAAGGAAUCUGUUGCCUCCAGUAUCUGGGAACUCCAAAGAUGAUACACAGUUGUGGCUGAGUGGUGGGUCCACCGAAUUGCUGGAUAGCCUGAAUGUAUUUAUGAGAGAGAGAACUUCAAACAUCCCAUCUGUGCAAGGCACCACUGGAUUUGUGGCUUAGAGACUUUAUGGCCCUUUUGGUGAAGUCUGAGUACUAGAUGACAGACCUCGGCAGAUUAUCCAUGUACUGGGCCAAGGUGGUGAAAUCUGGAGCAAAUAAACUGUGGCCCUUGAUGUACCCUCGAGGGAGA